rnacentral:rRNA from 1 species
UACGUAGGGUGCAAGCGUUAUCCGGAAUUAUUGGGCGUAAAGAGCUCGUAGGCGGUUUGUCGCGUCUGCUGUGAAAACUGGAGGCUCAACCUCCAGCCUGCAGUGGGUACGGGCAGACUAGAGUGCGGUAGGGGAGAUUGGAAUUCCUGGUGUAGCGGUGGAAUGCGCAGAUAUCAGGAGGAACACCGAUGGCGAAAGGCAGAUCUCUGGGCCGUAACUGACGCUGAGGAGCGAAAGCAUGGGGAGCGAACAGG